CAGCAGCCGCGGGAAUACGGAGGGUGCAAGCGUUAAUCGGAAUUACUGGGCGUAAAGCGUGCGUAGGCGGUUCGUUAAGUCUGUUGUGAAAGCCCCGGGCUCAACCUGGGAAUGGCAAUGGAUACUGGCGAGCUAGAGUGUGUCAGAGGAUGGUGGAAUUCCCGGUGUAGCGGUGAAAUGCGUAGAGAUCGGGAGGAACAUCAGUGGCGAAGGCGGCCAUCUGGGACAACACUGACGCUGAGGCACGAAAGCGUGGGGAGCAAACAGGAUUAGAGACCCCCGUAGUCCCUGUCUCUUAUAC
rnacentral:rRNA from 1 species